AGUGAACGCUGGCGGUAGGCCUAACACAUGCAAGUCGAACGGCAGCACAGGAGAGCUUGCUCUCUGGGUGGCGAGUGGCGGACGGGUGAGGAAUGCAUCGGAAUCUACUCUUUCGUGGGGGAUAACGUAGGGAAACUUACGCUAAUACCGCAUACGACCUACGGGUGAAAGCCGGGGACCUUCGGGCCUGGCGCGAAUGAAUGAGCCGAUGCCCGAUUAGCUAGUUGGCGGGGUAAGAGCCCACCAAGGCGACGAUCGGUAGCUGGUCUGAGAGGAUGAUCAGCCACACUGGAACUGAGACACGGUCCAGACUCCUACGGGAGGCAGCAGUGGGGAAUAUUGGACAAUGGGCGCAAGCCUGAUCCAGCCAUACCGCGUGGGUGAAGAAGGCCUUCGGGUUGUAAAGCCCUUUUGUUGGGAAAGAAAAGCAGCCGGUUAAUACCCGGUUGUUCUGACGGUACCCAAAGAAUAAGCACCGGCUAACUUCGUGCCAGCCGCCGCAGUAA
rnacentral:rRNA from 1 species